UACCAGCACCCCGAGUGGUCGGGACGAUUAUUGGGCCUAAAGCAUCCGUAGCCGGUUUUACAAGUCCUCCGUUAAAUCCAGCUGCUUAACAGAUGGGCUGCGGAGGAUACUAUAAGACUAGGAGGCAGGAGAGGCAAGCGGUACUCAGUGGGUAGGGGUAAAAUCCGUUGAUCCAUUGAAGACCACCAGUGGCGAAGGCGGCUUGCCAGAACGCGCUCGACGGUGAGGGAUGAAAGCUGGGGG
rnacentral:rRNA from 1 species